GGCUGGAUAGUUCAGUGGCAGAAGUCAGUUACAUCCAAAACCCUCGGAAGACUGUCCAUUGAAUAAUGUCUAAUAAUAACAUUUAGUUCUUGCUUUGGGUACUUUACUUGUGUGUAAGAGGUCCUGGGUUCAAAUCCCAGUUCAGCCC